rnacentral:rRNA from 1 species
UAGGGAAUCUUCCGCAAUGGGCGAAAGCCUGACGGAGCAACGCCGCGUGAGUGAUGAAGGUCUUCGGAUCGUAAAACUCUGUUAUUAGGGAAGAACAAAUGUGUAAGUAACUAUGCACGUCUUGACGGUACCUAAUCAGAAAGCCACGGCUAACUACGUGCCAGCAGCCGCGGUAAUACGUAGGUGGCAAGCGUUAUCCGGAAUUAUUGGGCGUAAAGCGCGCGUAGGCGGUUUUUUAAGUCUGAUGUGAAAGCCCACGGCUCAACCGUGGAGGGUCAUUGGAAACUGGAAAACUUGAGUGCAGAAGGGGAAAGUGGAAUUCCAUGUGUAGCAGUGAAAUGCGCAGAGAUAUGGAGGAACACCAGUGGCGAAGGCGACUUUCUGGUCUGUAACUGACGCUGAUGUGCGAAAGCGUGGGGAUCAAACAGG